GACAGAGGGUGCAAACGUUGUUCGGAAUUACUGGGCAUAAAGCGCACGUAGGUGGUCCGCUAAGUCGCGUGUGAAAAUCCCCUCGGCUCAACCGAGGAAUUGCGGGCGAUACUGGCGGGCUAGAGAUCGGGAGGGGUGAGUGGAACUCCAGGUGGAGCGGUGAAAUGCGCAGAUAUCAGGAGGAACACCAAUGGCGAAGGCAGCUCGCUGGGACGUGACUGACGCUGAGACGCGAAAGCGUGGGGAGCAAACAGG
rnacentral:rRNA from 1 species